CCUUGUGCAUUAUCCUUGACUCUUUCUUGAGUAUGGAGCACAUCAGUCCUACUGGUGCUUGAGACAUGAAGCUAAACAUCAGUAUUUCAAGAAAGUUGCAAGAAUCACCAAUAACUGUGUAAAUAUAUGUCAGACUCUUGCAAAGAGACAUCAGCUCUGUCAGUGCUGAGAUUGGGAGCAUGAAAGUCUCAUCAAAGACUAACACUGACGAGCCAGCGUAAACUUACGGGCUUGUUUGCUGAACUUGGAGACAGUUACUGCCUUGGACAAGAAACUCUGGAAGAGUAAAUACAGCAUCUUGAACUCUGAAGUAUCCAAUCUGAAAUAUCUUCAUUCUGGAUCUUGUACAUGCAGAGCAGACACCCCUGUUUGUGAAAAUGAUUGUGCAUAUUUGGUCAAACUGGAUUCUAGUUGGAAAACUUUUCACAACAACAGCGUUUUCAAGACACCCUUCAUUCAUACCAUACCAAAGACACUGAGGAGCUGUUGAUGUUCAAGGCUGGGGAGAAGUUGGACUUUCAUGCUCUGUAUGCAUACAGAUGUGAUGGUAAAGAAAUCGUAACACUCAUCCAUUGGCCUUUGAAAGAACUUACCAAAGUAAGACAAUGAAGAAGAUGGAUGUACACUAAUGCAGAUGACUGAAAACAAUGAGUGAGCGGCUGUUUCCAAGAAGGAAAGACCAGGUGAAAUUCUUGGGUGGUUUUUAGCAGCUGAAAGGGUAUCCAUCUCACGUGUAGUAAGUGGAACUCACACACACUAAGGUCUGUCCUUAUCAGCUUCCCUUUCUUAAAGGAAAGUUAUGGAUCUGGAUAUGAUACUUUGCAUGAAUCACUAAGACAUUUAAAAAGGAAAGAAGGCCUUUUGUGAAUGACAGUGAGAUCGAAAAAAACGAGACAGAACUACUCAGCACCAAACACUGGCAGAUAAAGAUCAUCUGAUCUUCAACCUGGUGUCCUUCUUAAAAAAGAUACGGAUCCAGUGAGGCCAACAUCCACAAUCACCCUGAGCAGCAUGACAGAAAGCCGCUGAGUGACAGGACAUCAGUAAAUGUUCAGAUGGACAUAUGCAAAAUGAUAGAUGAAAAUGGAGAGGUGGACAUUUCAGCUGCUGUCAGUGGGAUGUUGGCAAUUUGCCAUAUAUACCAUGUUGCCUACCCAAGUCAGCUAAAGAGAACUUUUUCAUUUUUGGAAGCUUUCAUUUGAAAGCUUUGAGAGAAAACUUUAAGAGUCACAAUAGCUGUGCAGAGGGUAGCAAAUGCAAUGGAAAUGUGAAGUGCUUGUGCAAUUUUGCUUUUGUUUGCGGUAUGAUUCUUAAAUAUGGAUUAGCAAAUGUCAGUGGCCCCGACGACGCUCCCUGCUGCUUUUCUCCUGUCUUACGUUUCUAUUUUGCAACUUUUCAGGUCAGUUCCUGAUUCAGUGAAA